GACGAACGCUGGCGGCGUGCCUAAUACAUGCAAGUCGAACGCAUUUUCUUUCACCGUAGCUUGCUACACCGAAAGAAAAUGAGUGGCGAACGGGUGAGUAACACGUGGGUAACAUGCCCAUCAGCGGGGGAUAACACUUGGAAACAGGUGCUAAUACCGCAUAAUUCCAUUUACCGCAUGGUAGAUGGAUGAAAGGCGCUUUUGCGUCACUGAUGGAUGGACCCGCGGUGCAUUAGCUAGUUGGUGGGGUAACGGCCUACCAAGGCUGCGAUGCAUAGCCGACCUGAGAGGGUGAUCGGCCACACUGGGACUGAGACACGGCCCAGACUCCUACGGGAGGCAGCAGUAGGGAAUCUUCGGCAAUGGACGCAAGUCUGACCGAGCAACGCCGCGUGAGUGAAGAAGGUUUUCGGAUCGUAAAACUCUGUUGUUAGAGAAGAACAAGGAUGAGAGUGGAAAGUUCAUCCCUUGACGGUAUCUAACCAGAAAGCCACGGCUAACUACGUG
rnacentral:rRNA from 1 species